AACAAUACUAAUACGGUAGGCACGGAAGGAAGGGGUGUUAUUGAUUGGCUGUUAAGCACAAAUGUCAACGACAAGAUUGUUGAAUGUAUGAUCAUACCUCAGAUCGUAUUCUCUCCUGCCAACUUCUUAGCAGAAAAUGAAUGUGCCCGUUGUCAUAUGCGUAUAUUGUGCCGUGUUUCUGUGGUCUGUGGAAGGCAACAGGGUGGUUAAGAAAGAGGGAGAAAAGGUGAUCUUGUCUUGUGAACUCAACGUGGAUUUUGAAGUCAUGUGGUUUGCUCUGCGCCCAGAUAAUUCUCUCUCUCUGGUCAUGUUAACCAACGUACUGAGGGACGGAAAAUCUCUCACCCCUACCCCACAGUUUGAUUCCCGUAUGGUGCCUGUGUAUCAUAGCAAUAAUAUGAAGCUAGAGAUUGAGAACUUCACUUCAAAAGAUGUGGGGCUGUACUACUGUGCCAAGCGCGAGGGAAACAUGUUUCAGAUUGGAAACAUCUCUGAGGUCGCUCUUUCCAUAGUGUCAGAUAAGCAGAAUUCUGGGCUAGUCAUUGGGAUGGAGCUCCCAGGGUUCAUCGCUCUGCUUGUUGCGCCCCCUCUGAGUGUUCUCCUGUCGGCUGUACUCAUCGCCUUCUGCCCCUGCUACCAUAAAGAGAUCAAGAGACCAAGACCACAAAGGAAGUAACCUGCAUAUGUGGUGAAGAGUGUGAUGUGAUGUGUGUGUUGCAUGCAUGAGUCUACAGAGGUACAAACAUAACACUGCAAUCUGCAGUACAAGCAUCUCACAUGUAUUAGUAUGCAAGAGACUUUUAUGUGUGUAAUGAAAUCUCAUAGUGUCAUAGUAUCGGAGCAUCUCUAGAGAAGCAUUGGACAUCUGUGCACAUCCAGCAUGUAAGACACUGCUGCACUGUGAUGCUAGUGUGUUGCAUCUUUUACCUUUCUAAUUUAGUCAUCAUCUGCAAAUUAGCAGGGUAAAACAUAAUACAUUUGUAUUAAUAAACAUAGUUAAAAGUGUUUAAAUUUGAUAAAG
rnacentral:lncRNA from 1 species